rnacentral:rRNA from 1 species
GACGUAGGGCGCGAGCGUGUCCGGAUUUAUUGGGCGUAAAGAGCUCGUAGGCGGCUUGUCGCGUCGACUGUGAAAACCCGAGGCUCAACUUCGGGCUUGCAGUCGAUACGGGCAGGCUUGAGUUCGGUAGGGGAGACUGGAAUUCCUGGUGUAGCGGUGAAAUGCGCAGAUAUCAGGAGGAACACCGAUUGCGAAGGCAGCUCGCUGGGACGUAACUGACGCUGGAGGAGCGAAAGCGUGGGGAGCGAACAGG